rnacentral:rRNA from 1 species
UACGAAGGGGGCUAGCGUUGCUCGGAAUUACUGGGCGUAAAGCGCACGUAGGCGGUCUUUUAAGUCGGGGGUGAAAUCCUGGAGCUCAACUCCAGAACUGCCUUCGAUACUGGAAGACUUGAGUCCGGGAGAGGUGAGUGGAACUGCGAGUGUAGAGGUGAAAUUCGUAGAUAUUAGGAAGAACACCAGUGGCGAAGGCGGCUUACUGGUCCGGAACUGACGCUGAGGUGCGAAAGCGUGGGGAGCAAACAGG